AGAUCGACAUCGGAUGGCUGUGAAUCGGCUUAAUCUCAGCUGGCAACUGUGAGAUGCUAACCAAUUCUCCCACAGUGGCAUCUGGGAUUAUGCUAAACACAGCAAUUUCUUACCUCUGAGAA
rnacentral:pre_miRNA from 13 species